CACGUAAAACACUUCCAACCUUUCGAGCUCCAGUGCGUCUCCUUCCGAUUUCGCUCAUUUCGCUUGACAGUGCGUGGCCUCAUUGAUUUCGCUCUUCUUCCCCAUCGAUUUCGCUCCAAACUUCAAAAGGAUAAAUGGAGAAAGAAAUAGAAAAACAUUGGAAGCAUCAACAUCUGGAAAAAAACACAAGAAGAUCAAGGAAAAUGUAUUAAUUGUUCCAGAAAGUGAAUGGACAAAUCUAUUAAAAGUCAGCUCCUCCAUAAAUUUAGAUGUUUUAUCUAACAUAGAAAAAUUAGACAAGCCAUCACUCCAACUAUUUAGAGAAGGUCCUUUUGGGCACUUCUUAGAUAUGAAAAUGAAAAGGAUGCCCAACCAACUCAUAUCACACCUUAUUAGAAGGCAAUGUACAAUUACCAAACAAAAUAUAUUGGCCUUUAAUUUAGAAGGACAUAAAUUUGGCCUCAAGGAUUUUUGUUUAGUAACAGGUUUAAAUUAUGAUGAUUACCCUAUAGAUGGUAUCUAUAGUGAACAGGAAUCAAUGGACAACACAAUUAGAAACUUCUUUUUCAAGAUAAAUAAAAAAAUUAUAAUAAGAGAGCUCCAACCUACUUUUAAUUUGUUAGGUUCUGAUGCCAACAUAUCCAUUGAUGUAAAGGUCAAACUUGCACACUUGUAUUUUCUAGAAAGCUUCCUAAUUCCUACACAAGGACAUAACAAAGUAAGUUGGAAGCAUCUAAAAAUGUUGGAUGACGAAGAAAGGUUUAGAUCUUAUCCAUGGGGAAGGGUUUCCUUUGAACUAACUAUAGAGUUUUUUAAGAAGGCUUUCAUCAAUAAGGCAUCUUCCAUUUUCCUCCAAGGAUUUCCACUAGCUUUGGUAUAUUGGGCUUUUGAAAUUAUACCAAGAUUAUCCAACCCCACUAUUGGAUUUGCACGAAGAAUAAAAAGCGAUGGACCUAGACUUACUCAAUGGGAGUCUCAAGAACCUAAUGAUUGGCAAUACAUCAACAACAAUAUUUUCAAAGCCACUGGUUUUACUGUUGCUUCAUUUGUUCCAACUGAACAAGAAUUGCAAUCCAACUAUUAUGCCUAUUUUGUGGAGCUGGCAACCAGGGAGAUGGAUAUUGAAAAAGAAAAAGAAGGAAAACAAAUGUAAACCGAGAGAAGAAUUGUAUCAUUACAAGAGGCAAUUGAAGAAUUAAAAAGAGGACAAGAAGAUAUUAAGAAGGACAUCAAUGAAAAGCACAAGGAGAUUCUUGAUAUAUUGGGCCACAUAAAAGAAGCUAUCAGUGAUAAACUUCCACAAAAAGAUGAAGGUGGUGAAAAGCAAUCUCAAGAAUCUCUUGAGAAGAACAAAGUGCCAUCAUCUAGUUUGGAGCUUUUAGAUGCAUGUUUGGAAGUUCUAGAGGUUGAAGUUGACACUGCUAAGGACAAGGAGGCUCAAGAUGAUCAAGAGAAUGACCAGCAAGAACAAAUGCAUGAUGAUCCUGAAGAUGAAGAGAAAGAUCAAGAAGAAAAAGAUGAAGAAGAUAUGACGGAAAAGAAUGUGAUUGAAAUGACUCUUAAAGAUAGUCUAAAAAAAUAUAGACCAAAGGUUGUCAUUGAAAAUAUAGAGGACAACAAGAGACCAAAAACACAAGCAAAACCAACCAAGAAAAUUUUGGAGAACGCAAAGAAACAAAAGAAAGACAAAAAGAAGGUCUCUCCAAAUGUGUCUCCAAGAAAAGCUACAAGGCAGUCUCCAAAGUGGAAUGACGAUGCUUCAAGCUUUGAUCUCAAAAUAUCACAACUUUGAUUGACAAUAGUUAGACUUGUUUA